GACGAACGCUGGCGGCGUGCCUAAUACAUGCAAGUCGAACGAGAGCAACCGGUGCUUGCACUGGUCAAUCUAGUGGCGAACGGGUGAGUAACACGUGGGUAACCUGCCCAUCAGAGGGGGAUAACGUCCGGAAACGGAUGCUAAAACCGCAUAGGUCUUCGAACCGCAUGGUUUGAAGAGGAAAAGAGGCGCAAGCUUCUGCUGAUGGAUGGACCCGCGGUGCAUUAGCUAGUUGGUGAGGUAACGGCUCACCAAGGCCGUGAUGCAUAGCCGACCUGAGAGGGUGAUCGGCCACAUUGGGACUGAGACACGGCCCAAACUCCUACGGGAGGCAGCAGUAGGGAAUCUUCCGCAAUGGACGCAAGUCUGACGGAGCAACGCCGCGUGAGUGAAGAAGGUUUUCGGAUCGUAAAACUCUGUUGUUAGAGAAGAACAAGUGCUAGAGUAACUGUUAGCGCCUUGACGGUAGCUAACCAGAAAGCCACGGCUAACUACGUG
rnacentral:rRNA from 1 species